AUUGAACGCUGGCGGCAGGCCUAACACAUGCAAGUCGAACGGUAACAGGAAGCAGCUUGCUUCUUUGCUGACGAGUGGCGGACGGGUGAGUAAUGUCUGGGAAACUGCCUGAUGGAGGGGGAUAACUACUGGAAACGGUAGCUAAUACCGCAUAACGUCGCAAGACCAAAGAGGGGGACCUUCGGGCCUCUUGCCAUCGGAUGUGCCCAGAUGGGAUUAGCUAGUAGGUGGGGUAACGGCUCACCUAGGCGACGAUCCCUAGCUGGUCUGAGAGGAUGACCAGCCACACUGGAACUGAGACACGGUCCAGACUCCUACGGGAGGCAGCAGUGGGGAAUAUUGCACAAUGGGCGCAAGCCUGAUGCAGCCAUGCCGCGUGUAUGAAGAAGGCCUUCGGGUUGUAAAGUACUUUCAGCGGGGAGGAAGGGAGUAAAGUUAAUACCUUUGCUCAUUGACGUUACCCGCAGAAGAAGCACCGGCUAACUCCGUG
rnacentral:rRNA from 1 species